AGUGAACGCUGGCGGUAGGCCUAACACAUGCAAGUCGAACGGCAGCACAGUAAGAGCUUGCUCUUACGGGUGGCGAGUGGCGGACGGGUGAGGAAUACAUCGGAAUCUACUUUUUCGUGGGGGAUAACGUAGGGAAACUUACGCUAAUACCGCAUACGACCUACGGGUGAAAGCAGGGGAUCUUCGGACCUUGCGCGAUUGAAUGAGCGGAUGUCGGAUUAGUUAGUUGGCGGGGUAAAGGCCCACCAAGGCGACGAUCCGUAGCUGGUCUGAGAGGAUGAUCAGCCACACUGGAACUGAGACACGGUCCAGACUCCUACGGGAGGCAGCAGUGGGGAAUAUUGGACAAUGGGCGCAAGCCUGAUCCAGCCAUACCGCGUGGGUGAAGAAGGCCUUCGGGUUGUAAAGCCCUUUUGUUGGGAAAGAAAAGCAGCAGGUUAAUACCCCGCUGUUCUGACGGUACCCAAAGAAUAAGCACCGGCUAACUUCGUG
rnacentral:rRNA from 1 species